ensembl:lncRNA
CCUGAGCUGAAGCAGGCUGCAUUACCCAGCCUGGCUCCCCUGCACAAGGAAGGCUGCAGAAGACACAUCAAGCUGGCAUCCACAAGCCAGCAGAGCAGCACAGAUUAUAUAAACAUGUUGCUACAGAUUUACGUACAGCACAAGAGAACUAAACUUUCAAGAAGGCUGAGCUGCAGGCUCAACAAAGAAAACGGUGAUAGCAGAGGGUAGGUAACAAGGUGCUGAAUACAAGAGAAGCGAAAUGUUUAGAGAACUGGUGCGUGGGUUGCUGCCCUGCUGCCUGGUGAGCCCAUGGAAAGACUGGGUAUGCUUCUGCAUCUGGGAGCAGCUCCUUGCGUCAGAGCAACAUAGUGAGAAUGACCUCCAUGUCAGGUAGGCAGGUAGAGGGGGGCACACGCCAGCUGUGCUGACAUUCCUCACACUGAUUCAGCUGGGAGGUUAUUUCAGAACACCUGACAUUAUCAGAGAGCUCCUACCAGGCUUUCGGAUGAGGGUGGGUGCAACCAAGCCAACCCAGGGGAUUCUUGCUAUUGCUUAAAUUGACAGCAUAAAAUGGUGAAAAAGUUCAAGAAAGAGCGGAACACCCGUAACAAAAACAUUACAUUGGACAGAUGAUAAAGAAUUUUUAUUAUAGCUAACAGUGAACAGGAACCAAUCUCUGCACUGAAGCAGAAAAAGCAGUGAGCAAACAUGGGAACAGUGACUGACUGCAGACAUGCUGAAAUCAUUAAAAGCCAUGACAAGAAAAGUAUAGGCACCUUAUGCAAGAUUUAUGAAAGCUGCCUGAAGAAGGCUAUGCAAACUCUGCCAGAGAGAAUUAAGCAAGAAUUACCUAAAAACGUAUGUAAACAAGGUAUAGUGGAAGAGAAAGAGGCAACAGGAACACUGUGGGAAGUAACCUAGACAUCGGGUCAGAAACCACAGCAUCAGCACUUUGCCCUACAGCAGCGAUCAUGAGGAAAGGACAUUGAAGAACAAGUGCACGCCUCCUCCAGUAAAUCAAGUUUUCUGCUCAUGUACGUCACAGAAUGCUGCAGCUAAGAGGAUCUCAUGUAUUUUUCACCCUGAUGUGCUGUCUGUGCUUUAGCUGUCUGUGCUUUAGCUGUGCCUAGCUUUAGCCAGGAACAAAAAGGUGGAAUAAAAUGUGACAUACCUGUGCCAAAGGAACAACCUGAAAGACUGAGAAAUAGGGUUCAGCAAACUACAAGUGCUCAAGAGCACAGGCACCUGAGCCUCUUUUCAAACCCCCAGUUUCAGAAACCUUAUUAAUGCAUUAGCCAGAGAGAACUCAUAAGGUGAAAGACACGUGUUACAUUUUUCUUCUAAUAUAUGCUCUGAUCAAAAACUGAGAUGAAAUUUCUCUGCUUUAAUUGGCAGCAC